CACGUAGGGGACGAGCGUUGUCCGGAUUCAUUGGGCGUAAAGCGCGCGUAGGCGGCUCGGAAAGUCGGUCGUGAAAUGCCGGGGCUCAACCCCGGGACUGCGUCCGAUACUCCCGAGCUGGAGGCAGGUAGGGGAGAUCGGAAUUCCUGGUGUAGCGGUGAAAUGCGCAGAUAUCAGGAGGAACACCGGUGGCGAAGGCGGAUCUCUGGGCCUUGCCUGACGCUGAGGCGCGAAAGCGUGGGGAUCAAACAGG
rnacentral:rRNA from 1 species